rnacentral:rRNA from 1 species
CCUACGGGUGGCAGCAGUGGGGAAUAUUGGACAAUGGGCGAAAGCCUGAUCCAGCCAUGCCGCGUGUGUGAAGAAGGCCUUCGGGUUGUAAAGCACUUUCAGUGGGGAAGAAAGCCUUGGGGCUAAUACCCUCGAGGAAGGACAUCACCCACAGAAGAAGCACCGGCUAACUCCGUGCCAGCAGCCGCGGUAAUACGGAGGGUGCGAGCGUUAAUCGGAAUUACUGGGCGUAAAGCGCGUGUAGGCGGUCUGAUAAGCCGGUUGUGAAAGCCCCGGGCUCAACCUGGGAACGGCAUCCGGAACUGUCAGGCUAGAGUGCAGGAGAGGAAGGUAGAAUUCCCGGUGUAGCGGUGAAAUGCGUAGAGAUCGGGAGGAAUACCAGUGGCGAAGGCGGCCUUCUGGACUGACACUGACGCUGAGGUGCGAAAGCGUGGGUAGCAAACAGGAUUAGAUACCCCGGUAGUC